UGAUAUUGUAGCUAUCAACUGGUGGGUUGACAGGAUCAUUUCAUAUAUAUAUUAUUAGGGUUUUUAGGGGCGACCAGGCCGAUCCGACACCUAUUCAAAACCGGUUCAAUCCCAGCUAAUUCCCAAUCCGAACACAUGGGUUUUAAAAACAUUGGGAUGUUGGGAAUGUUGAUUUAGAAAUCCCUUGAUUCCUCAUUUGGGAAAAAGGUUUAUUGACAUUUAAAUAUGGUUGGACUGAUUGGAUGCCACCCCAUAUCAUGGUUUACGGAUAUUAAAAAAAAAAAUGACAAUGGUUUGGAGACACUUUGAUAAGUUUAUUUGUAUAGGUAGGUUUAGUUUGAGUAGUAUAUUCAUUUGUGGUCAUCGGAAAAAAAUUUGUAUAGGUAAUAUUUAAAAUUUGGUUAAAGAUAAUCACACACAAACAAAACAUUAUUCAAAUAAGAAAUAAGAAAAAAAGAGUGAAGGAAUAGGGAUUAUAUACAAUGAGACCAUUUACUAUUGUUAUAAGAAAAUAAAUUUUUGAUGUUAAAUGUUAUGUUUCUAUAUUUUGAAAGUAUUUUUUUUGUUUGAGCCUAAUAAUAAAGGCAUAUUAUAAGCCACACAAAUCAUAUUAUGAUCCACUUCCUAAGCCCCUCAAGGAGGAGAGAUCCCAUACAGAAGUUCACUUCUUGACAUGUUGAAGUGAGAGAAAUGUUGAAGGGGGUGACCCCAUAACUAUCUGACAAGACAAAGAGAGAGUGACAGUGAGUGAGGAAGAGAGAGUAAUGCAGGUAUGGAUUUGUAUUUCGUUGCAAGGCGGCAGCCCUAAGACAGAUUGCAGAGAGGUGGAGCAGGGCUGUUGCAAAACAAGAAUUUGAGUUGAGAGAAGAGAGAGAGUGGGGUUGCGUCGGUUGUUGGCUUUAGAGAGAGAAACUCACAGAGUUGUUGCAGCUAGUGAGCGAAAGUGCAGCUAGUGAGAGAGAACAAUGCUCAUGCAGCCAGAGGACCGAAUUUCAGAGAGCUGCACAAAGACCGCAUCAGUUGCAGCUUGAGAGAGUGUAGGACUUGUUGGAAAUGGGCAGUAUUCCUCCAUUCCAAUAGUCUCCUCGUUUUCGCCCUUGAGAUAGUUUCCAUUUUGGCCUGCUUGAUUUCGAGAGAUAGAGAGUAAAGGACACGAGAGAAGAAAAAACAGCUAAACAGAGAUUUAUUUCUAGAGGCAUAAUGUAAUGCAACACAGGAGCAGUGCAAUUGAUUGGGGCUCUUGGGUACAAAUGAUUGGAGCAUUUAUAGGGAGGAAAGGUAGGGAUUGAGAAGGUCUAGAGGCACCAAAGAGAGAGAAGAAAAAUUGAGAGACUUUGGUUUGGGUCAAAAACGAAAAGAGUUUGGUCUUGAGUAGGGUAUUCUAAGUGUUUGACAAAAGCUUCAGGUGAUGGCUGCUUUUGGCUGAUUACUAUAGGUAUAAGGCUACUAAAAACUAACCAAUUGUUUGAGAGUUCGCCUAUGAGAAAACUCCUUUUCAUAAACAUUCGAGUGAAUUUUCAAUACAUACGGGGGAGAGAGGAGUGAUGGAUGGAGGAAGAAGAAGUUAAGGAUGGAGUAAAGCGUCAUUCGUAUGCUCAAAUUUUUCGCUCUUCUACUAGGUUUGAUCAUCGUGUUGAUUCGGUUAUUGUGGUGGGUGAGUCCAACGUAUCAAAUCUAGUGUUGUCAUAUCUUUUCUCUCUAAAGGUACAAACGUUGCGGCUUUUCAGAGAUGGGCAGACAAAUCAUGGACUUCAAUGGGUAGACAAAUCAUGGACUUCAACUGUAAUAAUUCUAAAAAAAAAAAUUUUAAAAAAAAGUAAAAAAUA
rnacentral:lncRNA from 1 species